rnacentral:rRNA from 1 species
UUUAAAAUCUUAAAAACGACGGGCAAUAUGUGCAUAUUUUAAUAAAAAUUCAAUUAAAAAAUAUAUUUUUUUUUUAAUUUUAAAUCCAAUUUCAAAAAAUUAAAUUACAAAAAUCUAUUCAAAAAUAUUAAAAAAGUAUUUCAUUAAAAUUUUAAUUAUUAAAUAUAUUAUGAUUUGAAUUUUUUUAAAAAUAAAUUUUUAAUAAUAAUUUAUAAAUAUUAUUUAUACCACAAUAUAUAAUUUAAUUUAAUUAAAUAAAUUUUAUUGUGUAUUAUCAAAUUAAUAAACAAAAUCCUCUAAUUUUUAAAAAUACUACCAAAUAAUUUAAUUUUAUUAUUAAUUUAUUAAAUAAUUAAAUUUUAAUUAAAAAAUAAUAAUA